rnacentral:lncRNA from 1 species
GGGAUUGCAGUGGCAAAGCUAGGCUAGGUCUUGGAGGCUGGUGUAAGGCGAUGUGGGUGAAGGCAGGAGGCUGAUGGAAAGACUGGGGGGAAGAAAAGCCGAAAUGGAUUCACGGUGCCUUGGAUGAAGGACGAGAGGGGAACUGCAAGCUCCUUCAACUGGUUCUGUCCGGUGAGAAGUGAUCAAGCUUGGGCUGACAAGAGGCUCAGGGAGCCCUCACGUUCUUUCGCUUUUUUACCUGCCAAUCAAACUGCUACAAGACAACACCCUGAUCUGGCAUGGACAUUCAUUGCAGUCACCUGGAGUCACGGAAAUGACCAUGAUUGCCUGAACUUUCAUGACUUCUGUGGAUAACUGUGGUUGCAGAAAAGAGAAAACCUGGACCGUGAGGGACAUUUCACUCCCUGGGCUUUGGCCUCCCUACAGCGUUGGCUCAGCUCUAGCUACUUGGAAGGUCGUGGCAAUGCUGUCUCAGAAUGUCCGUUUCUAGAGUACAGAGAAGAAAUUCUAGCUUGACGUCCACGUGCAUUUGUCUGUGUUUCAGAGGAAAUUCCAAUUCUAAACUCUUGGAAGAAACAAUUUCUCGGCAUGCUGAAGAGAAUUGCUGUUUUUUGGCACCUGAAACACUUUUACCCAAGGGUUCUGAUUAUUUAAAUAAUUGGUAUGCUAUAAAUAUUCUGGUUGACAGAAAUGUGGUUUAAUGUAGAUGAGUUGUAAAAACAUGAGACAAACAUGCUCCAGGCUAAAAAUAUCUGGAUUAAAAAAGAAAAA